rnacentral:rRNA from 1 species
AGCGGCGGACGGGUGAGUAACACGUAGGUAACCUGCCUGUAAGACUGGGAUAACAUUCGGAAACGAAUGCUAAUACCGGAUACGCGAAUUGGUCGCAUGACCGAUUCGGGAAAGACGGAGCAAUCUGUCACUUACAGAUGGACCUGCGGCGCAUUAUCUAGUUGGUGAGGUAACGGCUCACCAAGGCGACGAUGCGUAGCCGACCUGAGAGGGUGAUCGGCCACACUGGGACUGAGACACGGCCCAGACUCCUACGGGAGGCAGCAGUAGGGAAUCUUCCGCAAUGGGCGAAAGCCUGACGGAGCAACGCCGCGUGAGUGAUGAAGGUUUUCGGAUCGUAAAGCUCUGUUGCCAGGGAAGAACGCUUGGGAGAGUAACUGCUCCCAAGGUGACGGUACCUGAGAAGAAAGCCCCGGCUAACUACGUGCCAGCAGCCGCGGUAAUACGUAGGGGGCAAGCGUUGUCCGGAAUUAUUGGGCGUAAAGCGCGCGCAGGCGGUCAAUUAAGUCUGGUGUUUAAGGCUGGGGCUCAACCCCAGUUCGCACUGGAAACUGGUUGACUUGAGUGCAGAAGAGGAAAGUGGAAUUCCACGUGUAGCGGUGAAAUGCGUAGAGAU